UACGUAGGCAGCAAGCGUUGUUCGGAGUUACUGGGCGUAAAGAGUAUGUAGGCGGUUGGGUAAGUUUGGUGUGAAAUCUCCCGGCUUAACUGGGAGGGUGCGCUAAAGACUGCCUGGCUCGAGUGUGGGAGAGGAAAGCGGAAUUCCUGGUGUAGCGGUGAAAUGCGUAGAUAUCAGGAGGAACACCUGCGGUGUAGACGGCUUUCUGGACCAUAACUGACGCUGAGAUACGAAAGCGUGGGGAGCAAACAGG
rnacentral:rRNA from 1 species